ACGCUGGCGGCGUGCCUAAUACAUGCAAGUCGAACGAGAAGCGACCGGUGCUUGCACUGGUCAAUCUAGUGGCGAAUGGGUGAGUAACACGUGGGUAACCUGCCCAUCAGAGGGGGAUAACAUUCGGAAACGGAUGCUAAAACCGCAUAGGUUCUUGAGUCGCAUGACCCGAGAAGGAAAAGAGGCUUCGGCUUCUGCUGAUGGAUGGACCCGCGGUGCAUUAGCUAGUUGGUGAGGUAACGGCUCACCAAGGCCGUGAUGCAUAGCCGACCUGAGAGGGUGAUCGGCCACAUUGGGACUGAGACACGGCCCAAACUCCUACGGGAGGCAGCAGUAGGGAAUCUUCCGCAAUGGACGCAAGUCUGACGGAGCAACGCCGCGUGAGUGAAGAAGGAUUUCGGUUCGUAAAACUCUGUUGUUAGAGAAGAACAGCGCAUAGAGUAACUGUUAUGCGUGUGACGGUAUCUAACCAGAGAGCCACGGCUAACUACGUGCCAGCAGCCGCGGUAAUACGUAGGUGGCAAGCGUUGUCCGGAUUUAUUGGGCGUAAAGCGAGCGCAGGCGGUCAAUUAAGUCUGAUGUGAAAGCCCCCGGCUCAACCGGGGAGGGUCAUUGGAAACUGGUUGACUUGAGUGCAGAAGAGGAGAGUGGAAUUCCAUGUGUAGCGGUGAAAUGCGUAGAUAUAUGGAGGAACACCAGUGGCGAAGGCGACUCUCUGGUCUGUAACUGACGCUGAGGCUCGAAAGCGUGGGUAGCAAACAGGAUUAGAUACCCUGGUAGUCCACGCCGUAAACGAUGAGUGCUAAGUGUUGGAGGGUUUCCGCCCUUCAGUGCUGCAGUUAACGCAUUAAGCACUCCGCCUGGGGAGUACGACCGCAAGGUUGAAACUCAAAGGAAUUGACGG
rnacentral:rRNA from 1 species